UUUCAAUGUGUUGGGUUAGUUUUAGGUUUCUUUAUCAGUUCAAAUAUUUAAAAUUUCAUCAGAUUUUUAAACUUUCAUCCCAUAAAUAUGUUGAAAUUCCACCAUAAAUCGGCUCAUAAAUCAGUAGUUUGAUCAUAUUUUUAUCAACCCAUAAAUCAAUAGUUUGUACCAAAAAAGUUUGAUGGGUUUUGAUUUCUAAAAUUUGAAAUGGAUUUGAUGGGUUUUAUUCGCAGAAAUCUGCAGAAAUUCGAAGUCGUUUCGCUUGAGACAUCAUCCCCAAGAACAAGUUUUCUGGCUUCGGCGCUUUCCGGCACAUCCCCGCUGGACAUUUGCGGCUGUGUCAACCUGCCCCAUCAUUGUAAGGAAAGAUAAAUCAUGCAUCAAUGAACUAUUGCGAAACAUUGUAAACACAAACAAGAAAUCACUUCACAUAGGACCAUCAGGUUCGAUUGCAUUAACUGUCAGAAGGUUCUAGCAUUUGCAAGGUUUGGCUUUGACACAUCUGUGGUGGAUACUAUACCUUAUAUGUGGGUUGUGUGAAAAAAGUAUAGCUAGCAAUUACAUACUGCUUUGGCAACAAUCUCUGUAUUGUGGAGGACAUCAC